GUGUCAGCAGCCGCGGUAAUACGUAGGCAGCGAGCGUUGUUCGGAGUUACUGGGCGUAAAGGGUGCGUAGGCGGUCCCUUAAGUUUGGUGUGAAAUCUCCCGGCUCAACUGGGAGGGUGCGCCGGAUACUGAGGGGCUAGAGUGCGGGAGAGGAAAGUGGAAUUCCUGGUGUAGCGGUGAAAUGCGUAGAUAUCAGGAGGAACACCGGUGGUGUAAACGGCUUUCUGGACCGUAACUGACGCUGAGGCACGAAAGCGUGGGGAGCAAACAGGAUUAGAUACCCUGGUAGUCCACGCCCUAAACGAUGCACGUUUGGUGUGGGUGAUUCAGUUCAUCCGUGCCGGAGCUAACGCGUUAAACGUGCCGCCUGGGGAGUACAGUCGCAAGGCUGAA
rnacentral:rRNA from 1 species